UACGGGGGGGGCAAGCGUUGUUCGGAAUUACUGGGCGUAAAGGGCUCGUAGGCGGCCAACUAAGUCGGAUGUGAAAUCCCCAGGCUCAACCUGGGAACUGCAUCCGAUACUGGAUGGCUUGAAUUCGGGAGAGGGAUGCAGAAUUCCAGGUGUAGCGGUGAAAUGCGUAGAUAUCAGGAGGAACACCUGCGGUGUAGACAGCUUUCUGGACCAUCACUGACGCUGAGACACGAAAGCGUGGGUAGCAAACAGG
rnacentral:rRNA from 1 species